AUUGAACGCUGGCGGCAGGCCUAACACAUGCACGUCGGGCGAGCGGCGGCCGGGUGAGUAAUGUAUGGGGAUCUGCCUGAUGGCGGGGGAUAACUACUGGAAACGGUAGCUAAUACCGCAUACCAUCAGAUGCGCCCAUAUGGGAUUAGCUAGUAGGUAUGGUAACGGCUUACCUAGGCGACGAGCCCUAGCUGGUCUGAGAGGAUGAUAAGCUACACGGGGACUUGGACACGGCCCAGACUCCUACGGGAGGCAGCAGGGGGGAAUAUUGCACAAUGGGCGCAAGCCUUAUGCAGCAAUGCCGCGUGUAUGAAGAAGGCCUUCGGGUUGUAAAGUAAUUUCAGUCGGGAGGCGUUACCGACAGAAGAAGCACCGGCUAACUCCGUGCCAGCCGCCGCGGUAAUAC
rnacentral:rRNA from 1 species